rnacentral:rRNA from 1 species
AGAUGAGCCCGCGUCCGAUUAGCUAGUUGGCGGGGUAAUGGCCCACCAAGGCUCCGAUCGGUAGCCGGCCUGAGAGGGCGGACGGCCACACUGGAACUGAGACACGGCCCAGACUCCUACGGGAGGCAGCAGUGGGGAAUAUUGGACAAUGGGCGAAAGCCUGAUCCAGCAAUGCCGCGUGAGUGAUGAAGGCCUUAGGGUUGUAAAGCUCUUUUACCCGGGAUGAUAAUGACAGUACCGGGAGAAUAAGCCCCGGCUAACUCCGUGCCAGCAGCCGCGGUAAUA